rnacentral:lncRNA from 10 species
CAGACACUGAUUCUCCCACAUGUCGUGAUCUUGGACUUCCCAGAAGGGACCACUCUCAACUUUCUGGACACAGAAGGCACUUCAUUGUCCGCCUGAUUUGCCCUCUCUCAUUCUCAGGAUGGAAGACCUCUCUAGCCAAUGGGAAGAUGGCAAGAUGUGUGAAUGUACCCCUGGGAGCAAAAUCACAGAGCCUGUGUAAUCCUCUAUACAUGUAGGGACUGAGUGUGGGUAUCUCUGGCCAGUGUGGAUGUUGACCACGUUGUUUCGUAACCCUGCCUCACUUGCU